rnacentral:rRNA from 1 species
UACAGGCCAAGUUAUUAAGAGCUAUUGGUGGAUGCCUUGGCAUUGACAGGCGAAGAAGGAUGCGAUUACCUGCAGAAAGCUCCGGCGAGUUGGUAUAAGCGAAGACCCGGAGGUAUCCGAAUGGGGGAACCCGGUAGGAGUAAUGACCUAUCAUUAUACGUUGAACACAUAGGCGUAUAAGGCGAGACCCGCUGAACUGAAACAUCUUAGUAAGCGGAGGAGAAGAAAUCGAAGAGAUUCCCUGAGUAGCGGCGAGCGGAAGGGGAAGAGCCCAAACCACGACAUAGGUUGUGGGGUUGUAGGGUUAGCGGAUGGAGCGAUAGAUUUUAGUUGAACACUUCUGGAAAGGAGGACGAUACAGGGUGAUAGUCCCGUAAGCGAAAGGAUUGAGGAGCUCUGGCUAAUACCUGAGUAGGACCAGACACGUGGAACCUGGUUUGAAUCUGGGGAGACCACUCUCCAAGGCUAAAUACUAGUCAAUGACCGAUAGUGAACCAGUACUGUGAAGGAAAGGCGAAAAGAACCCUUGAUAAGGGAGUGAAAUAGAACCUGAAACCAGUAGCUUAUAAGCGGUCGGAGGCCAAUGACCUGAU